rnacentral:rRNA from 1 species
UAGGGAAUCUUCGGCAAUGGGGGCAACCCUGACCGAGCAACGCCGCGUGAGUGAAGAAGGUUUUCGGAUCGUAAAGCUCUGUUGUAAGUCAAGAACGAGUGUGAGAGUGGAAAGUUCACACUGUGACGGUAGCUUACCAGAAAGGGACGGCUAACUACGUGCCAGCAGCCGCGGUAAUACGUAGGUCCCGAGCGUUGUCCGGAUUUAUUGGGCGUAAAGCGAGCGCAGGCGGUUUGAUAAGUCUGAAGUUAAAGGCUGUGGCUCAACCAUAGUUCGCUUUGGAAACUGUCAAACUUGAGUGCAGAAGGGGAGAGUGGAAUUCCAUGUGUAGCGGUGAAAUGCGUAGAUAUAUGGAGGAACACCGGUGGCGAAAGCGGCUCUCUGGUCUGUAACUGACGCUGAGGCUCGAAAGCGUGGGGAGCGAACAGGAUUAGAUACCCUGGUAGUCCACGCCGUAAACGAUGAGUGCUAGGUGUUGGAUCCUUUCCGGGAUUCAGCGCCGCAGCUAACGCAUUAAGCACUCCGCCUGGGGAGUACGACCGCAAGGUUG